AAGGAUCAUUACAAGUGAGGCUACCGAACGCUGGAAACAGCGGUUAGGAGCUUACACCCACCCGUGUUUACAUACUAUUGUUGCUUUGGCGGGCCGUGGCCUCCACUGCGGGCUCUGCUCGUGUGUGCCCGCCAGAGGACCAAACUCUGAAUGUUAGUGAUGUCUGAGUACUAUCUAAUAGUUAAAACUUUCAACAACGGAUCUCUUGGUUCUG
rnacentral:misc_RNA from 1 species